GUAAAAGUUACCAGAGUUCCAAAUAAGAGAUAGAUGGCGUCCAUCGUUGGAACGACAUUGACUCCUAUGGCCGUCAGUAUGUAGGUGAGCGAAGCGUGAAUGUUAAUGGUGAUCUGCAGAUGAUCAAUUGUUUAGUCUCCAGAAAUGUUCACACUUGAAGGUUAGGAUUCGUGUUUUGGAAAUAGGUAAAUUGCACCACGGAUCACUGACACUUCCAAGAGGUUUUAGUUUCUCAACAAUCUUCAAAUUUUUACAGCUCAGUCUGUAAACUUUAAUUUCUGCAGCAAUCUUUACCCUUUUCAUUGACUUAAAAGUAAACUGAUGUUGCCAAACAAGAACUAACAAAAAUUGCUCAUCUACCAGUACGAUGAUGAUUAUGUGGAUAUUUCAAUCCUAUUUGAUGGAAAAACCAAACGAAAGGGUUAGAUUAUAACGGAGAGCAACAGAUACGGACCCAAUUGUAAUAACUGAAAGGUUCAGGAUCAGACUGAGCUAAGCAAAAAGUUGAGGACCCCUGAUGUAAUUUAUCCUUUAAAAACAUACCAAGUCAAGUAUAUUCUCUCGUAUAAGGAAAGAGGAAAUCAAAACGUAUCCAACAGCUCCCAUUGCUCGGACCUGCAUGAUAAGAUUAGAAACACUCAACACUAGAGAAAUUCCAUUGUUAAGCAUGUUCAAUAAAUCGAAUAAAUAGGUAAGAGCAUUACAAUCGAGCAAAGGAAGAUGGAUGUUACCCAAUUUGCCCCAAGCCUGGAAAGAGCGAAUAUCGAGCCGAACACGAGCCAGCUCGCUCAUUUGCCAGCCCUAUAAUUGUGGAGAGUGACGAGAAGAUAAUAAUUUAAUAAAUUUUAAAAGAAAAUUUUGAUUGCAGUGUAGAAUUCAAUGAGAAAGUCAUAUCAUUGUAUUUAAAUAAGAAAAAAGUUUACAGCAUUCCAAACAACAAUAAUUCAAGAAGUACAAGAUAAUAAGGGGCUUGUUUUGUUACACUGUUCGUAAUAUUCUAGUAAUCUUUCGUAUUUUUUUACUGAAAUAUUUAAAUUAUUAUCAUUCAAUUUAAAUUGGAUAGUUGUAAAAAAUAUCAGUAAAAUAGUAAUUAUAAAUACUCAACUAGUAAGAGUAUUUGAUUACCACAGAUUAUGAUGUAUUCUUAUUCUUAUAUUUAAUGAGAAUCAUUAGUUGUUCAUUAAUAAUAAAAAUACAUAAACCGACCGUCCCUAAAGCAAGUGGCAAAAGGCUUGAUGGUUGGUACCCAAGACCCAAGUUCGAAUCCUAGCUGAUUCACAUUUCCAGCUAAGUUUAUUUCAAAAUGAAAUAAACGAAGCGGAUAGCAUACUACCUAUCUCUCUCAAAAAAAAGAAAAAAAAAAAAAAUCUUAACAACCUUCCAAUAUAAGCAGCUUGGUAAGUGAGGAGCAGACUUGCUAUUCUUAAUAUAAAAUAUACUAUUUUCCCGAAAUAUUUCAAACCUUCAACCAAACGGCCCUAACUACCUGUACAUAAAAACACUACAACAUUAAACAUAACAGCAGCUUACAGCUAUCUCAAAUAAAACUUGAAGAACAGUAUUAGAUUUAGACCAAAGUAGUGGUUCAUUUCAUUUGUUUGAAAUAUUUUGAAAAUAUCAUAUAUUUUACAUUUGAAAUGACUAAUUUGUUAAUAAUAACAUGCCACUGGGGUUCGAAUAUUAUUUCAGACUUGUAUAUUCUUAUUAACCGACUAUUCAUAAUCUUCAUCAAGUCCGAAAAUAACAAAACUUCCAACCCCGAAUAUUAUAAUCAAGAAUUUAAGUGUCCAUCGGCACGGAUCGUUUCUUUUCUACUGUAUCGUGCUAACAAAUUAUCAACACGAUACAGUAAAAUACAUAAUAAACAGUUAGAAUAUUUUGUUUCUAAAAAAAAUAAAUAAAUAUUUUAUAUUAUUAUGUGUCUGCACACAUAAAUUUUUUAUGACUAACACGCAUUCACAUAGCCCGGCACGCACCGGAAAGUCUCCGAUAGGAUCCUGUGCCACGACGCUUAAAUUCUUGAUUACAAUAAACCUACUUGCAGGAAAUAAAAAAUAUAAAAGAUUACUGAAAUAUUAUAAACCACGGACGGGUCUUAAAAGUUUACUAUAAUGUGGGUUUUUUAAUUAAUGCACCUAGUUAAGUUGCAAUAUAACAAAUAAAAUCAAAACCAGAAAAGCAUAAAAAGAAAAAAAAACAAAAGACAAGAUACCCUUCUUGAUAAGAACUAUAUCUAAAUUAAUAGUUCUAUUAUCAGACAAUUUAUUUAAAUUGAAAGAUUCUUUUCUAUCAAAGUAUAACUGACGCCAUCAGCAAGUCAUUUUUCGUAAACUUUUUGCAUCUAUAUUCAACAAUUAUGUCCAAAAUUUUGUGCCCAUUUAAAAACAAGAGCAAGAUGCAGCAACCAUAGAAAAAUGUCAGGGUUUAACGAGAUAAAGGGUGAGAGUGCAAGGUUGGUUUUGCACUUUAGCCUUGUGUUUUUCUAUUUCUUCAUAAAGAUUUCAAUUACAAUGAACAAUUACAACCCGGAAAUUAAUGUGCCAACACUAAUUUUAUACAGAAUAGUAACAGUGGAAUUAAAAAAAAAAGAAGAACAAGCUUUGAAGAUUGAUUCCAAGGUUUCCUAUAUUUUGUAUGGGUGGCAAUAAAUUUCGCAAAAAUGCCCUCAAAUUGCUUUAUCCAGCCAUUUUGGAAGUUUCAAAGAAGCCCUCAAUCCAAGUUUUGUAAGGAUCACAGCAUACAAUAUAUGCAGCAAAAAAACAAAGAAUCCACAGUUGAGUAGAAGCUGUUCAGCAACAAAAACAGAUGAAUUAACAGCAUCCGAGCGCAAUAUCAUACACGAAUUCAGCGAAAGAACUGCGAGAUUUGAAAUGAUGUAAAAGUUACCAGAGUUCCAAAUAAGAGAUAGAUGGCGUCCAUCGUUGGAACGACAUUGACUCCUAUGGCCGUCAGUAUGUAGGUGAGCGAAGCGUGAAUGUUAAUGGUGAUCUGCAGAUGAUCAAUUGUUUAGUCUCCAGAAAUGUUCACACUUGAAGGUUAGGAUUCGUGUUUUGGAAAUAGGUAAAUUGCACCACGGAUCACUGACACUUCCAAGAGGUUUUAGUUUCUCAACGAUCUUCAAAUUGUUACAGCUCAGUCUGUAAACUUUAAUUUCUGCAGCAAUCUUUACCCUUUUCAUUGACUUAAAAGUAAAUUGAUGUUGCCAAACAAGAACUAACAAAAAUUGCUCAUCUACCAGUACGAUGAUGAUUAUGUGGAUAUUUCAAUCCUAUUUGAUGGAAAAACCAAACGAAAGGGUUAGAUUAUAACGGAGAGCAACAGAUACGGACCCAAUUGUAAUAACUGAAAGGUUCAGGAUCAGACUGAGCUAAGCAAAAAGUUGAGGACCCCUGAUGUAAUUUAUCCUUUAAAAACAUACCAAGUCAAGUAUAUUCUCUCGUAUAAGGAAAGAGGAAAUCAAAACG
rnacentral:lncRNA from 1 species